AUUGAACGCUGGCGGCAGGCCUAACACAUGCAAGUCGAACGAGUGGCGGACGGGUGAGUAAUGUCAGGGAAACUGCCUGAUGGAGGGGGAUAACUACUGGACACGGUAGCUCAUACAGCAUACCAUCGGAUGUGCCCAGAUGGGAUUAGUUAGUAGGUGGGGUAAAGGCUCACCUAGGCGACGAUCCCUAGCUGGGCUGAGAGGAUGACAAGCCACACUGGAACUGAGACACGGUCCAGACUCAGACGGGAGGCAGCAGGGGGUAGGAUUGCACAAUGGGCGCAAGCCUGAUGCAGCCAUGCCGCGUGUAUGAAGAAGGCCUUCGGGUGGUAAAGUACUUUCAGCGGGGAGGCGUUACUCGCAGAAGAAGCACCGGCUAACUCCGUGCCAGCAGCCGCGGUAAUUC
rnacentral:rRNA from 1 species